rnacentral:lncRNA from 1 species
GGAAUGGUGGCUGGGCAGUGCACUGAGAGACCCCUCCACCCAUGGGAGCAGCAGGAAUUUCUUCAUGGAAAGGCUCAGGCACUGGAAGGGGCUGCCCAGGGAGGUUUGGAGUCCCCUGGACACCUCCAGGGAAGGUCUGGACGUGAUGCUCAGGGCUCAGUGCUGUGACAAGGUGGGGCUGGGACACAGGAUGGACUCGAUGUUCUCAGAGAGCUUUUCUAACCUCAGUGGUUCUGGGAUCUUGGGAUUCCGUGAUUCAGCAUUGCUCCUGGCCCACACUGGUGGGCUCCUGCUGUCACAGGACACCUCAACCCUGGCCUCCUGAGGUAUUGAGUGCUCAGGAACUCCUGGGCACAUCCCAGCAUCUCUCAUUCCCAGCCACUGGAAGUGUUGUGGCUUUUGGAGCCUCUCCAUGCCAGGGAGCUGUCAGCAGGCUCAGGAUCUGCCUGCAGGAAAGAUCUCGGAGGCAGCUGCCUACAUUUUAACUCAUCUUUAUUUAUCUCAGCCAUAUUUUGUUUUUAACCAGAAAUUCCUGUUUUGGACAAAAAGGCAGCAGUUCCACUCCCAGUCUCUCCUGGAAGUCUGGUUCUCCCUCUCUCCAGGCAGCUCCAGCUUCCCUGCUGUGUCACAUCCGAGCACGAGCAGCCAGGGAAUGUUUAUUGUCUGUCACACAGGUGCUCUGGGGAGCAUCACCGACACUGUUUGUGACACCCUGAGUGCACCAUGGGCAGGACCUGCGCUGGAACGAACUCCAGAGUGGUUCCAAAGAGGGGAGAGAGACCAAUGUCCAGCUGGGAAUUCACCUUGGAGAAUGUGCAAGGGAUGUCUGUGAAUUUGGUCAGCUCCAGCCAGAAUUGGAAAGACUGAUCAUUAAAUAAUUUUUGAAGGAUUCUCCCAGUGUCAUCCAUGCACAAAUGGCUUCAGCAUCUGCCUGGCUCAAGUCAGCAAUCCUGGGGUUUUUUAAGCAUUCAGGUCAGCCAUUAAAAUACCAAUUGAGAAUAUUUUUGCAGGUUUUAUUCUCACACCAAGCUGGCAGUCAAGCUGGCACUUCUCUUUUCAUCUUCACUUCCCAUCGCCUCAAUAUAGCGUGUCCAUCAAUUUGCUUUUAUUUAUUUUUUUCCAGGCUAUUUUAGACAAUCUGCUGAAGAAAUCUCACUCAGCAACGAGUGCUGACCUUGAGCCGCUCCCUUUCUCUCCCUCUCCUUUAUUUAAGAAUGUGCAAUGAAUUAAGACAUCACUUUAUCCCUGCGCUCCGUGCAGGCAGCAGCGGCUCUCCAAUGGAGCAUGAAUGGCAGGGCUGCGGGCAGCGCUGGCCUGGAAAUGUGAUCUUAUGGAAACGAGGGGUGACCUGCUUCCAGACACAACAAUGUGACGGGAAGAGUCCUGCCUCCCAAAUGGGACAUGACGGAUGUGCCCCUGAGGGGCGCGGAGUCGGAGCCUCCCGACUGCGCACAGCGUGGACGUGGCGCGCGGAGGUCCCAGGAAUGGGAUGGGGCCGCAAUCCUGCGG